rnacentral:misc_RNA from 1 species
CGUCCGCGCUUCCGACCGUCGCGCCCAGUUCGUCGGGCUCGAUGCCUAUGAGCAGACCGGUGGCGCCGUCAUGCGCGACCUGUUCGAACACGAUGACGGCGGUUGGCUGCAGGAUGUGCCGCUGCUCGAUCGCCUCGUCACCGAGAAGCUGAAGGCGCAGGCCGAAAUUAUCGCCACGGAAGGCUGGAAGUGGAUCUCGGUGGCGGUCAAUUUCCCAUAUGGUCA